rnacentral:rRNA from 1 species
AGAGUUUGAUCCUGGCUCAGAACGAACUUCUGGCGGCGUGGAUAAGACAUGCAAGUCGAACGAGAGAAUUGCUAGCUUGCUAAUAAUUCUCUAGUGGCGCACGGGUGAGUAACACGUGAGUAACCUGCCCCCGAGAGCGGGAUAGCCCUGGGAAACUGGGAUUAAUACCGCAUAGUAUCGAAAGAUUAAAGCAGCAAUGCGCUUGGGGAUGGGCUCGCGGCCUAUUAGUUAGUUGGUGAGGUAACGGCUCACCAAGGCGAUGACGGGUAGCCGGUCUGAGAGGAUGUCCGGCCACACUGGAACUGAGACACGGUCCAGACACCUACGGGUGGCAGCAGUCGAGAAUCAUUCACAAUGGGGGAAACCCUGAUGGUGCGACGCCGCGUGGGGGAAUGAAGGUCUUCGGAUUGUAAACCCCUGUCAUGUGGGAGCAAAUUAAAAAGAUAGUACCACAAGAGGAAGAGACGGCUAACUCUGUGCCAGCAGCCGCGGUAAUACAGAGGUCUCAAGCGUUGUUCGGAAUCACUGGGCGUAAAGCGUGCGUAGGCUGUUUCGUAAGUCGUGUGUGAAAGGCGCGGGCUCAACCCGCGGACGGCACAUGAUACUGCGAGACUAGAGUAAUGGAGGGGGAACCGGAAUUCUCGGUGUAGCAGUGAAAUGCGUAGAUAUCGAGAGGAACACUCGUGGCGAAGGCGGGUUCCUGGACAUUAUACUGACGCUGAGGCACGAAGGCCAGGGGAGCGAAAGGGAUUAGAUACCCCCUGUAGUCCUGGCAGUAAACGGUGCACGCUUGGUGUGCGGGGAAUCGACCCCCUGCGUGCCGGAGCUAACGCGUUAAGCGUGCCGCCUGGGGAGUACGGUCGCAAGAUUAAAACUCAAAGAGAUUGACGGGGACCCGCACAAGCGGUGGAGUAUGUGGCUUAAUUCGAUGCAACGCGAAGAACCUUACCUGGGCUUGACAUGUAAUGAACAACAUGUGAAAGCAUGCGACUCUUCGGAGGCGUUACACAGGUGCUGCAUGGCCGUCGUCAGCUCGUGUCGUGAGAUGUUUGGUUAAGUCCAGCAACGAGCGCAACCCCUGUUGCCAGUUACCAGCACGUGAAGGUGGGGACUCUGGCGAGACUGCCCAGAUCAACUGGGAGGAAGGUGGGGACGACGUCAGGUCAGUAUGGCCCUUAUGCCCAGGGCUACACACGUACUACAAUGCCCAGUACAGAGGGGGCCGAAGCCGCGAGGCGGAGGAAAUCCUAAAAACUGGGCCCAGUUCGGACUGUAGGCUGCAACCCGCCUACACGAAGCCGGAAUCGCUAGUAAUGGCGCAUCAGCUACGGCGCCGUGAAUACGUUCCCGGGUCUUGCACUCACC